GAUGAACGCUGGCGGCGUGCCUAAUACAUGCAAGUCGAGCGAACAGACGAGGAGCUUGCUCCUUUGACGUUAGCGGCGGACGGGUGAGUGACACGUAGGUAACCUACCUAUAAGACUGGGAUAACUUCGGGAAACCGGAGCUAAUACCGGAUAAUAUUUCGAACCGCAUGGUUCGAUAGUGAAAGAUGGCUUUGCUAUCACUUAUAGAUGGACCUGCGCCGUAUUAGCUAGUUGGUAAGGUAACGGCUUACCAAGGCAACGAUACGUAGCCGACCUGAGAGGGUGAUCGGCCACACUGGAACUGAGACACGGUCCAGACUCCUACGGGAGGCAGCAGUAGGGAAUCUUCCGCAAUGGGCGAAAGCCUGACGGAGCAACGCCGCGUGAGUGAUGAAGGUCUUCGGAUCGUAAAACUCUGUUAUUAGGGAAGAACAAACGUGUAAGUAACUGUGCACGUCUUGACGGUACCUAAUCAGAAAGCCACGGCUAACUACGUG
rnacentral:rRNA from 1 species